UCCUAAUUUCUGCUCUCUCUCUCCUCCCUCGACCUCUUCGCCCCUCCCUCUCCUCAAAAUCUCCAUCGCCUUCGGUCAUCCUCGCCGCUUCUCACUCUCCUCAAAUCUCCGCCUUCCUCUCCACUUCAAUGGUUGUAGGCUUUAGGCCACAGCAAGAUCCACCGCGGCCAUUCUGAUUUUUGAUCUCGUCGGCGCUGCUCAUCAAGAUUCGAGAAGGAGGAGAACGGCGAAGGAAGGCGAGGAAGGCGGAGAGCAGAGGCGGCGAUUCACCUCCUCACAAAGCUGCGGUGAGCCAUUGUGGUAUCGGCUUUGGCCUCGACGUUAUCGCGGUGGCUGCAACGGGACGGGGAAGCGUGGAGUAGAACGACGAAGGAAAGAGAAGAAGGAGAAGUCGAUUAUGAUGAUAAAUGGCGAAGGAAACAGCGUCGUGAAGGAGGUUGGGCUUUUGAUUCAUCAACACCAGUAGAUCCAUCGUCACCAUCGACGAACACCCUCGGAUUCAUCGACGACGGCCGCAGAACCAUAAUCUGCUCUCGCUCCUCUUCUUUGUUGCUGCCCAUUAAUUGUUUCUUUGCGAGGUGGCCGUUGUCGGUGGUGGUGGCCGUUGUGUUUCACAGCCGCGAGGAGAGGAAGGAUAAGUCCCUGCCUGUUGCUGGUUCUUUAUGCGUGUUGUUUUGUAGUCUACCCUUGUUGUUCGUUUACUUUUAAUUAGUUUUAUUUCAUAACUAUUUUGUAUUAUUGAUUUUGUUUUAGUUACUAAUAAUGUUGUUUUAGUUAUGAUUUAUUUCGUUGUAGUUAUGAAUAAUUUGGGUUUAGUUAAGAAAUAAAAUGUUUUAGUUAUAUGGA